UACAGAGGUCUCAAGCGUUGUUCGGAUUCAUUGGGCGUAAAGGGUGCGUAGGCGGCGCGGUAAGUCGGGUGUGAAAUCUCGGAGCUUAACUCCGAAACUGCAUUCGAUACUGCCGUGCUUGAGGACUGGAGAGGAGACUGGAAUUUACGGUGUAGCGGUGAAAUGCGUAGAUAUCGUAAGGAAGACCAGUGGCGAAGGCGGGUCUCUGGACAGUUCCUGACGCUGAGGCACGAAGGUCAGGGGGAGUAAACGGG
rnacentral:rRNA from 1 species